rnacentral:lncRNA from 1 species
GCCUGUAAUGAGACUUCAUUUCACAGCCUACUUUGCAUUAGAUGUGUUCCUGUGAUGACAUUCAGAGCAGGUUCACAUCCUUUCCGGCUGUUCAGAAGAACUCUAUCACAUCUGCCUGGGAGAGCAAUAAAGAGACUUGGUGGCAAAACACAACACAAGUAAUUGCUCAUCCUGUGCGAAAUGCCUUCCAUCCGCUCUGGGAAAACCUCCUUGUGGCAGGAAGAAGCCAGGUAGUAUGGAAUAAAAGGUGUGCUCUGCCUUGUCAGGGUGACUUAGGUGCUCAUCUGGGCUAUGAAACCCUCACUAAGAGCAGUGUUCAGCACAAGGCAGUCUGAUGCCUGGUGAAUGAUCCAUCACUUACAAGCUCAUCAAAGUUGCACCACUUCUGAGGGGCAGGAAGCCCCAGUAAGGUACCUGAGACAGUUCACAGAACACCACCCUGAUU